UUCCAUUGCAAGCAAAACACGAAGGGCGACCCUUAAGGUCCGUCAUCUUCCCAAACAUUCUGAGACUUGGGGCGUGGGUCGGAGACUGGUUACUUCCGAAUCUAGCUAAAGUUGUGAUUACCCCUAUUUGGAAAAAGCCGCUAUCUCAAAAAAAUGAAUGAAAAAAAUUUAAAAAGGAAGAAAAGAAAAAGAAGAUGAAAAGCAAAGAAAAGCGAAAUGAAAGUAAGUUGUAUAU
rnacentral:lncRNA from 1 species